GAUGAACGCUGGCGGCAUGCCUAAUACAUGCAAGUCGAGCGAACGGACGAGAAGCUUGCUUCUCUGAUGUUAGCGGCGGACGGGUGAGUAACACGUGGAUAACCUACCUAUAAGACAGGGAUAACUUCGGGAAACCGGAGCUAAUACCGGAUAAUAUUUUGAACCGCAUGGUUCACAAGUGAAAGACGGUCUUGCUGUCACUAAUAGAUGGAUCCGCGCUGCAUUAGCUAGUUGGUAAGGUAACGGCUUACCAAGGCAACGAUGCAUAGCCGACCUGAGAGGGUGAUCGGCCACCCUGGAACUGAGACACGGCCCAGACUCCGACGGGAGGCAGCAGUAGGGAAUCUUCCGCAAUGGGCGAAAGCCUGACGGAGCAACGCCGCGUGAGUGAUGAAGGUCUUCGGAUCGUAAAACUCUGUUAUUAGGGAAGAACAUAUGUGUAAGUAACUGUGCACAUCUUGACGGUACCUAAUCAGAAAGCCACGGCUAACUACGUG
rnacentral:rRNA from 1 species